rnacentral:rRNA from 1 species
AAAUGAAUAGACGGGGACCCGCACAAGCAGCGGAGCAUGUGGUUUAAUUCGAAGCAACGCGAAGAACCUUACCAGGGCUUGACAUCCCCCUGACCGGUAUAGAGAUAUACCUUUUCUUCGGAACAGGGGAGACAGGUGGUGCAUGGUUGUCGUCAGCUCGUGUCGUGAGAUGUUGGGUUAAGUCCCGCAACGAGCGCAACCCUUAUCUUUAGUUGCCAUCAGGUGAAGCUGGGCACUCUAGAGAGACUGCCGGGGAUAACUCGGAGGAAGGUGGGGACGACGUCAAAUCAUCAUGCCCCUUAUGUCCUGGGCUACACACGUGCUACAAUGGCCUGAAACAAAGGGAAGCGAAGCCGCAAGGCGGAGCGAAACUCAAAAACCAGGUCCCAGUUCGGAUUGUGGGCUGCAACCCGCCCACAUGAAGUCGGAGUUGCUAGUAAUCGCGAAUCAGCAUGUCGCGGUGAAUGCGUUCCCGGGUCUUGUACACACCGCCCGU